AUUUUUUCGUACUUCAUAAGCAUAAUGAUUGGAUGUUCAUGCUCUUGUGUGGGGUAUGCCUCCCGCAAACCUUAUUACGACUUCAGCACAUUACGCAUCUGAGG